rnacentral:rRNA from 1 species
GAUGAACGCUGGCGGCGUGCCUAAUACAUGCAAGUCGAGCGAACGGACGAGAAGCUUGCUUCUCUGAUGUUAGCGGCGGACGGGUGAGUAACACGUGGAUAACCUACCUAUAAGACUGGGAUAACUUCGGGAAACCGGAGCUAAUACCGGAUGAUAUUUUGAACCGCAUGGUUCAAAAGUGAAAGACGGUCUUGCUGUCACUUAUGGAUGGAUCCGCGCUGCAUUAGCUAGUUGGUAAGGUAACGGCUUACCAAGGCAACGAUGCAUAGCCGACCUGAGAGGGUGAUCGGCCACACUGGAACUGAGACACGGUCCAGACUCCUGCGGGAGGCAGCAGUAGGGAAUCUUCCGCAAUGGGCGAAAGCCUGACGGAGCAACGCCGCGUGAGUGAUGAAGGUCUUCGGAUCGUAAAACUCUGUUAUUAGGGAAGAACAUAUGUGUAAGUAACUGUGCACAUCUUGACGGUACCUAAUCAGAAAGCCACGGCUAACUACGUG